AGCAGACAGCGUGCCCAGUUACGAGGGACAAAGGUGGAGGAGAUGGAGGGAGUGCACAGCAUCCAGAGCUUCCUCCUGAAGAGACAGCAAACACAGCCCCACAGGGACAGGUGCUUCAUCAGGCAGAACUCCGCUGGAUUUGGAUGUUUGCCUGAUGGAGGAGCACUGUGAGACUGACUGCUCCCUGUGCAGAACUCGAGAGGCAGCAUACGCAGUACAGGGAAUCCUUCUGAGUAAUAAAAAUCCUCCAUACCUCCCCGAUCUGUUCUUCUUAAACAAGCAAGUUCUCCGCUUCCUAGCUACACAAGUGAAUGACAUUUUACAAGCCCCCUCUGUACCACUGUUUUUGUGGAGAUAUGUGUAUGCAUUUGUAAGGGAUUCCUUAAGGAAACAAGUCAGUUGAUAAAUCAUUAAUUUAUUCCAAUUUCUUCCACCUGAGUAUGCUAAGUGAUGGUCUCAAAAGGACUUCUCUACUGCCUUCCAGAGGAUGGAAUACAUUCUUGUUGUGAUCUCAGGAGCUGCAGG